CUCUGGGCUUAGUUGGUUAGAGCACUGCAUGGAUCGGAAUCGCAGGGCCGCAGGUUCGACUCCUGCCCGAGAGG